AUAACGGGUUGAUAUUCCGUACCGGUGUUGAUGCGUCCAUGCUGAGGCCGGGUGUGCUAACCAUUUCGAGUCUUCAUGUCCUUUCGGGGGUGUGGGGGUGAGGGUGGGAUCCUGUCUGGUAGUAGGCAAGCGAUGGGGUGACGCAGGAGGGUAGUCCAGCCCAGGCGGUGGUUGUCCUGGGGCAAGGGUGUAGGACGGGGUGUAGGUAAAUCCGCAUCUCAUGUGUCUGAGACCUGAUGCCGAGCCGAUUGUGGCGAAGUGGAUGAUCCCAUGCUGCCGAGAAAAGCCUCUAGCGAGUGUCAAGACCGCCCG
rnacentral:rRNA from 1 species